rnacentral:rRNA from 1 species
UAAACAACCUGCCUUCAGGAUGGGGACAACAGACGGAAACGACUGCUAAUACCGAAUAAGUUCCAAGAGCCGCAUGGCCCAUGGAAGAAAAGGUGGCCUCUACCUGUAAGCUAUCGCCUGAAGAGGGGUUUGCGUCUGAUUGGCUGGUUGGAGGGGUAACGGCCCACCAAGGCGACGAUCAGUAGCCGGUCUGAGAGGAUGAACGGCCACACUGGAACUGAGACACGGUCCAG